rnacentral:lncRNA from 1 species
AUUCUGAUGUGGUGUAGUAUAUCAGCAUUUUCCAUGAAACCUCGUCUCCGGCCUUCCCCUUUUAGGAAACAAAGGACCCGUGACAGAGCCUACUUAUCCCGUUACAGCUCCUGGUGAGAAGGGCGAAGCCAUGUCAGAAAUAAUAGAAAAGGCUUUUUCCUUUGAAAUAUCUAAACGUUCAAAGAUGGGAACAGCCGCAGGGGGGAGAAUACUGUGCUAUGCAAGUUGAUCUGAUUUUGUGGACCAUCCAUUUCCAAUUGGGAAGCUCACUUACUUUCAACUUGAAGCAUCAGAAAACCAGACUUACAGCAGCUUCAGCCUAUAGGGGUUUAUUUUUCUCAUGUAACAAGAAGAACAGAAGUGGACAGAGGCCGAGUUCUCAAGGACUCAGUUUCUUUCUGUCCCACCAACCUUACCAUGUUGGAUUGUCAUCUUUGUGCUUGUUGCCUCAUGAUGGCAAGAUGGCUGCAGCACCUCUGGGACUCACGACUGAUUUUUAAGGUGCCUUUCAGGAUUGGAGACUACUCCCCCAGUUGCUGAUGGUGUGGUCAGCCCUCAGUUUUCAGUCCUCUUUGGGAAUUGCCUUGGAUGAAGAAAGUCACCUCACCCAAGAUCACUCCAACUCCUGGGACCCACAUCCAAUGAUUGGCCAAUAUGGGGACUCAAAGGCCUGGUCCCCCUUCCCCAACUUGAGACUACUCUGAAGGAUCACCCAGCUUCAGAGCUUCCCAUGGUUGAGACUUUUAGACUUCACUGUGGUCCAACCAAUCUCUUCCUAUACACGGUCCUGACUCCUUCACUUCCCUCCCAGCACUUCUUCUGUGUUAAUAUCAAACUUCUGUGCUAAUAACAAACUUCUUCCGUGCUAA